GGCCAAAGAGUGGGUAGGGCGAAUGAGGAAAAGCAGCAAAGUGUACUCCCUCACAGAGAGGCAGAGAAGUGCGUUAGAACCCUGGGGAAGCAAGCUGGGAACCUCCCUCGAAGCCUGUCUGUUUCACUGUGCUCUCCUUAUCAUAGACACCUGCCACAGGGUUUGGCAUUUCCCCUUUUCUGAUUGGCUGCCUCCCCAGGGCCUGGGCCUCAGUGCUGGUGGCCCUCUGGGGGUCGGGAGCGCAUAAAUAGUUCCUGCUGGGGAAACUGGGAAACUGGUCUCAGACAAGAGGAACAGACAUCUCUGCCACGCACUGCUGCCUGGAGCUGCAUGAGGUCCCAGUGCUGCCAGCGUGUCUUCUGUGUAUAGCCCCAUGCACCUCUGCCUCAGCCACAGCCCUUCCCCGCAGCAGCUCCCGCGGCCUGGCCUGGUAGAGCUGCAGUCCCAGGCCUCCUUCUACUCCUUCCUGGUACGACUGCAUGAACCCCAGAGACCCAAGAAGCGAGUAGUGUUUGCAGACACGAAGGGGAUCUCGUUGACAUCCGUGUACAAGUUUGAAGAUGCUGUGGGCAGACACGUGUCCCAUGUUCAGUUUCCUGCGCCCUGAGCCACCUGGCUGGCCAGAGCCACCACCUACGCUCUGGGCUUCCCCGCACCCAGGCAGGGUUCGGGGGUUCCAGAGGCGCCUGCAGGUGCAGAGUGUGCGCCCGGAGCAGCGUGCUGGGCAGGGGGCUUCCUGCGAGGCGCUGUCUAGCAGGCAGGCUGGGUUCCAGAAGGCAAGGCAGAUGCGCAUCACCUUUGAUGUCAGGGCUCCUUCCAAGAAGUGCCUAGUGUUCACACGGCCAGUCCUUGCAGAAGCGAGACUGACAGCUUCGCCUUCCAAGCCAUGUUGCCACUAGGUCCCCCAGGCCGGUGGGCACCAUUCAGUUCUGCUUCUGUUGUUGGGGAAAACAAUCAAGGGCAAACCUGUUGUUUGGUGCCCAGUUCUCAGUCACGCUCAUCACAAUGUAAGUGAGCUCUGUGAGGGCCCACAGACAGGGUGAGCCGUCUGUGGUUACAUUUUCUGCAGAGGCGAAGCUUGAAUUCCUCACCCAGGAUGUGCUAUUCCUAUCGCUUCUGGAACUUUAUUCAGACUCUUCUUUCUCCUGAAUUCACAGUGGGGAGACAGGAGGGACACAACUCCCAGCCCCCAGAAAGCCUUGAAUGCUUUGCAUUCUUCUCUCACAAGGGGAGCCCACUUCCUGACCAAAGGGCUGAAAUUUCCUUUAGGGAGAUGCUGGGAAUGGCGCCCUUUACCCUUUGCAGAGGAGCCUUUGGAGUGUGGAAACAGAAGAAAUGUAAAUAAAGCUUUUAUGUGUCAUUAUUUAACAGGCCUGGCAGAGUGGCUGUAAGGACUGUGUGGAGUGGGGGAGGGCCGGGGAGGGUUCUUUGCAUUGAAAGCAGGAGGCACCCAGCACAGGAAGGAGCUCUUACACUUUCCUCUCCAGGUGGAAAGGGCCAGCUUUCUGGUAACUUGAAAUUGUACUGCUGCUUCAACUGUUGCCUAAAGAAAAGUUCAUUAAAGCAUCUUCAGUGGUUCACGUUGUAAACACUUGACCUUUCCCCCUCUUUAGCAGGUAAAAGUCUGGGGAAACUCUGUCUACCUCAAAACAGAUGCACUUAAAAAAAAACAAAAACAUUUUUAGCUGUUUUGUGCAUAAUUUACCAAGACCCAGAAACCUGACCUUUGUUCCUAGGCCCCUCCCUCCCCUGUUGUAUUUAUCACCCUAUAUGGAAACUGCUUAUUGAACUGUUUGCCACCCUCAGGGCCUGGAAAGGCUGGACCAGGACUGCCAUCCACCCUGCUGGCCCCCAGGCUGUCAGCCCUGGAAUGCUCAGGAGGUAAGGGUUGGAAUAAUAAGUGAAUGUUUGUGCCAGGUAGGCCCCUCGCUUCAACUUGCAAUGCUCUGAGAUCUUCAGUCUUCAGAAGAUUUUAGCCUCUUUUCGGAGAUUGCUCAUUCUCUCAGAUUACUGUUCGUGGAUGACAAAUUUUAAAUAUGUGUUUAAAAAGAAUGUUUCUCUCUUCUGAUUCCUUGACUUCUUGGGCUAUAUUUUUUUGUGCCGGUGGCAGGCUAUAUCAAUGCAAUCAUUGUGGCUGAGCAAGCAGCAUUCUCUUUUUCUCCCUAAAGGGCCUGCCCCAGCUGAUUCAAUCUGUAAAACAACCAGGUGGUUAACAGCGUAAAGCUAGAAGCAGCCAAACACACCGGCUUCCAGGGCCGCUCUGAACACAGCUGCAGCUUCCUCAUCUGAUAAGGAACGCUUUCAUAACUGCACCUGUUUCCUCCUGCUCCCUCUCCAGCCUUCUAGCCCUGCCUCCAUUAAGGGAUGAUCAGGAAUAGCUAACAUCCAUGCCCAUCUUCCUCUACUUUAUACGCGGGAUGCCUACCACAGCAUGGCUUGAUGAGCGGUGCAAUGUCCGCACCUGGGAACCGAACCCGCGGACCCCAGGCCACCAAAGCGGAAUGUGCACACUUAACCGCUGCGCCACCGGGCCGGGGGUUUUUAUUUAAUGGGUAUUGAGUUUUCAUUUUUCAAGAUGAAAAAUUUCUAGAGAUCGGGUGUACAACAAUGUGAAUAUACUUAACACUACUGAACUGUGCCCUUAGAAAUGGUAAAGUUGGUAAGUUUUGUGUGUAUUUUACCACAACUAAUUUUUUUUAAAAAAAAAAGAACACAACUUUUGCUUAAUUUGGCUUUUUCUCUUGGUGCUUGGAAAUGAGCAUUGGUGUUGCUGGUUGUGUAGUAAACAGUUGUGGAUUCACCUCUUAAUGAAUGUUAAAGACUUUGUACGUUAAAAGGUGACCGUGGAAGGGAAAGGAAUUAUACAGCACACUUAUGGUGUUGUUCUACUGAGGGACAGAGUACCUUUCAAACGGAGUAUCUUCCCAGGUUCAUAGCACUGUGUGUCAUACACGCAGCAAACACAAUGAUUGUAGAGGCACAUUUUGGGAAAUGAGCUCAAAGUUAGGAUGGGAUGGGGAUCGUUAAACCUCUCACUGAGACCUUAAUCACUGUGACCCCCUUCUUUUAAUGGCCUAUCCUUCAUCAGGUACUUAAAAUUACUCACGUAGUUUUUGUAGCACAAGAGUAUUUUCAUCGUAGAAUGUGAAAAUACCUUCAACAAUAAUCUAGAGACAGUCCGAAUUCAGUGUCAAGGAAUUUAGUGCCGGCGAUGAGCCUGGUCAUGCUAUCAGGCAGUAGGCCUUCUCUAUAGAUAAACCCACGCCAUGUCUAAAUUCUCAAGCGUUACUUGCUCACUUUCUCUCUCUCCCAUUUGUAUUCUUUGUGCCUAGAAAUGACCAUGACAGAGAGAUGCCCAGAUCACUGACCUUUGCAAACAAAACUUUGGAGCCUAAGAGAACUAUAUUAACCCAGUUCUUACUGAUUUCCUCUUUGAGGGGGAAGUUUGAUUGCUUUCCCACACCAAAGAAGUUUAGAGAAUGUGCCAGUGAAUGGGUGCCUACUCUCACCUGGGUAUGUGUGCGUGUGUUGAUACCCAAGAAGUGAGUUUACUAUUUGGUUGGGCAAAGAAUCAAUGAACACGAUUUGUAUUGAGCCUGUAAUGUGUGUGACUUAUUUUUUAAUUUCAAAAUUAUUAUAUACAAGGAACUGUAAUAUUUGGUAAGAAUUGUGAGAAAAUUUAAACAUGAAUAGACACUAGCAGAGCAGACAGACAC
rnacentral:lncRNA from 1 species